rnacentral:rRNA from 1 species
AGGUUUCCGUAGGUGAACCUGCGGAAGGAUCUUA